rnacentral:rRNA from 1 species
AUUGAACGCUGGCGGCAGGCCUAACACAUGCAAGUCGAACGAGUGGCGGAAGGGUGAGUACUGUCUGGGAAACUGCCUGAUGGAGGGGGAUAACUACUGGAAACGGUAGCUAAUACCGCAUACCAUCAGAUGGGCCCAGAUGGGAUUAGCUUGUUGGUGGAGUAACGGCUCACCAAGGCGACGAUCCCUAGCUGGUCCGAGAGGAUGACCAGCCACACUAGAACUGAGACACGGGCCAGACUCCUACGGGAGGCAGCAGUGUGUAAUAUUGCACAAGUGGCGCAAGCCUGAUGCAGCCAUGCCGCGUGUAUGAAGAAGGCCUUCGGGUUGUAAAGUACGUUCAGCGGGGAGGCGUUACCCGCAGAAGAAGCACCGGCUAACUCCGUGCCAGCAGCCGCGGUAAUAC